GCGCUUGCUUCAGCGGCACAUAUACUGAAAUUGGAACCAUAGAGAGAUUAGCAUGGCCCCUGAGCAAGGUGACACACAAAUCUGUGAAGUGUUCCAUUUUUAA
rnacentral:snRNA from 1 species